AGAGUUUGAUCCUGGCUCAGGAUGAACGCUGGCGGCGUGCUUAACACAUGCAAGUCGAACGAACCUUCGGGUUAGUGGCGGACGGGUGAGUAACGCGUGAGAAUCUGCCCUCAGGAGGGGGAUAACGGUUGGAAACGACCGCUAAUACCCCAUAUGCCUACUGGUGAAAUGAAUUUCGCCUGAGGAUGAGCUCGCGUCUGAUUAGCUAGUUGGUGAGGUAAUGGCUCACCAAGGCUUCGAUCAGUAGCUGGUCUGAGAGGAUGAUCAGCCACACUGGGACUGAGACACGGCCCAGACUCCUACGGGAGGCAGCAGUGGGGAAUUUUCCGCAAUGGGCGAAAGCCUGACGGAGCAACGCCGCGUGAGGGACGAAGGCCUCUGGGCUGUAAACCUCUUUUCUCAAGGAAGAAGAUAUGACGGUACUUGAGGAAUAAGCCACGGCUAAUUCCGUGCCAGCAGCCGCGGUAAUACGGGAGUGGCAAGCGUUAUCCGGAAUUAUUGGGCGUAAAGCGUCCGCAGGCGGCUUUUCAAGUCUGCUGUUAAAGCGUGGAGCUUAACUCCAUCAUGGCAGUGGAAACUGAAAGGCUUGAGUAUGGUAGGGGCAGAGGGAAUUCCCGGUGUAGCGGUGAAAUGCGUAGAUAUCGGGAAGAACACCAGUGGCGAAGGCGCUCUGCUGGGCCAUUACUGACGCUCAUGGACGAAAGCCAGGGGAGCGAAAGGGAUUAGAUACCCCUGUAGUCCUGGCCGUAAACGAUGAACACUAGGUGUCGGGGGGAUCGACCCCUUCGGUGUCGUAGCU
rnacentral:rRNA from 1 species